rnacentral:lncRNA from 1 species
AGCGCUCUCGGUGGAAAACACGACCAGCUGUUGUCUGAUCGCAGUGCGCAGUUGCUUCGUUUUAUUCCUGCAGGUCACCAUCAUGGCGAAACCGCGCACAGCAACUGCAAUAUACGUUUUGGUGCUUCUGACUCUAGCUUACCUUCCGAACCUGGAAUCGCUUGAAGUAAACCCGAAAGCAAGAACAAAACGAGAUACUGAGAUACGCGGAACUUCGUCCGAUUGCCCAGCGAAUACUAUGCAGCCGCCAGGCGUGAUGUGCGCCAUGUACAUGGACACUCGGACAUGCGCCGACCUGGACUGCCAAAGUCAGGACAAGAUGUGCUGCCUCGACAGUUGCAGCCACCUGCAGUGCGUUGUGCGCCCAUAGAAGACACAGAGAGAAGAUAUAUUACGUGCAUCUUACUUGAAGCUCUGACAGUAAAGGUCAAAGCACAUGUA